rnacentral:lncRNA from 12 species
AUGCACAGCCAGAGUGAAGGGCCUCGGGGACGCAGGAGGCCGCCUUCCGGAAGAAUGCUACCGCUGGUACCACGCGCACAUCGCCGAGACCUCCGCAAUGCGGCUGCCGCUGUCCCUGCUGUCCCUAAUGCUGCGGCUGCUGCUGCUGCGGCUACUGCUGCUCUUAGCACUGCCACUAGCAGGCAGCUAGUAAGGCUGCUGCUACCACUACUACUCAUAUAUCCAAUAAUAAUAAUAAUAAUACUGCUUAUACUAUCACCACUAUUACUAAUGCUGCUACUAAUGCUCCUACUACAAUUAAUGCAUCUACUAAUACCACUGCUAAUGCUACUACUACUACUAUGGGUAACGCUGCUACCUACUAACUCUGCUGCUAAUGUUGCUGUUGAUACUACUUCUACUACUAGACCUACUAAUGUUGCUGCUAGUGCUACCACUACUAACGCAUCUACUAAUACUACUAUUAAUGCUACUGUCAAUGCUACUACUAUUAAUACAUCCACUAAUACUACUGCUAAUACUUCCGCUAAUGUUACUGCAGAUACUGAUGCUACAAAUACUACUGCUGGUAUUAUUAAUGCAUCUAGUGAUGCUACAGCUACUGCUAAUGCUGCUGCAAAUACAACUAAUACCACUGCUACUGCUAUCAUUACUAGUGCUAGUGUUGAUGCUACUACCAUUACUGAUACUGCUGCUAAUACCACCACCACUAAUAUGUCUACUAAUGCUACUGCUACCACUCAUAUUGCUAGUGUGGCAACUCCUGAAACAUCUACUAAUACUAGUGCUAAUACUGUUGCUAACAAUACUGUGGAUACUAAUGCUAAGAAUACUACUGCUGAUACUAUCAAUGCACCUACUGAUGUUACAGCUAAUGUUAAUGCUACUGGAAAUACAACUAAUACUACUGCUACUGCUACUACUCCUGGUGCUCAUGUUAAUAACACCACUAAUAUUACUAAUACUGGUGCUAAUACUACCACCAUUAAUACACCUCCUAAUGCUCCUGUUAACACGACUGUCGCUGCUGCUAACAGUGCUGCUGGCAUCAUUCCUGGCACUACUGCUAGCAACCAUUACUAA